CAGAGUUUAAGCUCAGUGAGUGGUUGCAAUUAAUGAGAUAGCCAACUGCCCCUCUUUCCCAGAGAUAUUUGUAAGGCUGAGUUUUAUUUUUGCCCAGAUGGUUGUUUAGGAAUUGAACUGCUUUUGAAUACAAAACAAGAGUUGCUUGUGUAGAAGCAUGAGCAGAGGCCUGACUUUGGUUGUGUGGAAGAAUGGUCAGAGGCCUGACUAGGCUGUGCAGUGGUCAGAGCCCAGAUGAACAUUUAUUGGUCUGGCAGCCAGAUAUCUGCUCCACAGGAGGUGUGAUAAGCCAGACUCUGGGAUUCCUUUGCAUUAAAAAACAAAAUGCAGGCAUCCUUCAAGAAUUUUAAGUUCUCUGGCAGGAAGGUGCUUUGGGCCAUUCUGUUUUACUUUAUUUUAUUGGUGAUGUCCAAAGAUUUUUAGGGUGCAAGAUCUGUCCUGGAUCAUCUUGGCCUCAAACCUGCCAGCCCCUGGCACUGGUAUGACCUGGUACCCCAUGGCCAGGUUCUUCCCUGUGGCUCUACUCUGCCAGCCAAGCCAUCAGAUGGGUGGUACUUGAGCAAGUCUUACCCAGAGUUGGGCCAUGUCUCUGCUCUUCCCUAGCUGGCCUUCCAGCUUCCACUAGAGAACUGGACCUUGUACAUUCUAGGGAAGGCUGGGGAUCUGGGCAUAAAGCAGGGGCGGAGAGGAGAGAAACCUUGAUUAAGCUGCCUUGUCCACAGGAUUCCUCUUUCCUUCAUUUUGAAAAUACCUAGUUUGUUCCAACUGUGAAGAAAGGGAGGAGGAACUUGUGAAAGUCACCAAUACUGUACCAUCGCAUUGAUGUGGGACCUCUUGCCAGAAGCUCAUGGAAGACAGUGACCUGGUGCAGUGGAAAGCACAAGACUUUAGGCCAUGGCAACAAAGGGCCUUGUGCUCACUAUAGCAGAGCGUCCUGUCUUUGUCCGAUCCAGCCCAGUACAUCAGUCUCUGCAAAUAACAAAAGAUGUGGCCACUCGGCCGCCUGUCUGUGCCCCCACCAGAGCACUGAGAAAGGUUGAGGCCUCUCCAACUGGAGCUGAACUAGGAGAGCAGCAGACAGGAAGUCCCUCUGUAGCAGGGACUGAUUCAACCUUUGCUGCUUUAGCCCUCAGUAGAUGGAAAUGCUGAAGCUCCUACGUCCUCUGUGCUUCUCUUUCUGAACACUCUUCCCUGGUGGUUGGCAAUCUGCCUGCCUAUGCAGGGGACACGGGUUCAAGCCCUGGUCUAGGAAGAUCCCACAUGCCGUGGAGCAACUAAGCCCGUGCGCCACAACUACUGAGCCUGUGCUCUAGAGCCCGCGAGCCACAACUACUGAGCCCGCGAGCCACAACUACUGAAGCCUACCACCUAGAGCCUGUGCUCCACAACAAGAGCAGCCACCGCAGUGAGAAGCCUGCACACCGCAACGAAGAGUAGCCCCCGCUUGCUGCAACUAGAGAAAGCCCACACGCAGCAACGAAGA